UAGCUCAAUUGGAUAGAGCGUUUGACUACGGAUCAAGAGGUUAGGGGUUCGACUCCUCU
rnacentral:tRNA from 1 species